AGUUUGAUCCUGGCUCAGAAUGAACGCUGUCUGCAUGGAUUAGGCAUGCANGUCGAACGAAAACUUUUUUACUGAUCCUUCGGGUGAAGUAAUUGAGCGAAAGUGGCAAAAGGGUGAGUAACGCGUGAGCAACCUGCCUCUAUGUCGGGGACAACAGUUGGAAACGACUGCUAAUACCGGAUGUGGCUUCUUAACCGCAUGUUUUAGAAGCUAAAGAUUUAUUGCAUAGAGAUGGGCUCGCGUUCCAUUAGCUAGUUGGUGAGGUAAUGGCUCACCAAGGCGACGAUGGAUAGGUGGUCUGAGAGGACGAUCACCCACACUGGGACUGAGACACUGCCCAGACUCCUACGGGAGGCUGCAGUCGAGAAUCUUCCGCAAUGCGCGAAAGCGUGACGGAGCAAUGCAGAGUGUGUGAUGAAGGCUUUCGGGUCGUAAAGCACUGUCAACAGGGACGAAUAAAAUGACGGUACCUGUAGAGGAAGCACCGGCUAAAUACGUGCCAGCAGCCGCGGUAAUACGUAUGGUGCAAGCGUUAUUCGGAUUUAUUGGGCGUAAAGGGUCCGUAGGUGGUUUAUUAAGUCAGAUGUGAAAUCCAACGGCUCAACCGUUGAACUGCAUUUGAAACUGAUAAACUAGAGUAUUGGAGAGGUAAGUGGAAUUUCAGGUGUAGCGGUGGAAUGCGUAGAUAUCUGAAGGAACACCNAAAGCGAANGCAGCUUACUGG
rnacentral:rRNA from 1 species